CGCAGCCGCGGUAAUACGAAGGGGGCUAGCGUUGCUCGGAAUUACUGGGCGUAAAGGGCGCGUAGGCGGAUAGUUUAGUCAGAGGUGAAAGCCCAGGGCUCAACCUUGGAAUUGCCUUUGAUACUGGCUAUCUUGAGUUCGGAAGAGGUAAGUGGAAUGCCGAGUGUAGAGGUGAAAUUCGUAGAUAUUCGGCGGAACACCAGUGGCGAAGGCGACUUACUGGUCCGAUACUGACGCUGAGGCGCGAACGCGUGGGGAGCGAACAGGAUUAGAUACCCGCGUAGUCCCUGUCUCUUAUACC
rnacentral:rRNA from 1 species